GUGUUGGUAUUUUUCUUCACUGAGGGAGCAUGACUAACACAAACAAUUUUUAGUGUCUUUUAUCUUAUUAAUUGGUAUUGAGAAUCAAACCUAGGGUCUUAUGAAUGCUAGGGAGCGCUCUACCAUGAGAGAGCUCCACCCAAAGCCUUUGUGCUUUUAUAUUUAGUGAGCUAGUUUGCAGUUGGAGAUGAGUCUCAAGAGGAAAACAGUACUUUGAAGUACUUUAAAUUACAUAUAUUUGGUUUUGUAUAUGUGUGGAUGCAUGUUGCUUUGUGCAUUUAGGCCAGAGGACAACUUAUGGGAGAAAUAAUACAAAUCAUGUAAAAAAUGACCCUUAAGCCAUGCGUGCUAGCACAGGCCUUUCAUUCCAGCACGUGGGUAGCAGAGGCAGUUGGAUCUCUGUGAUUUCAAGGGCAGCUUGGUCUUCAGAGUUCCAGGACAGCCAGUGCUACACAGAGAAACCACAUCUUGGAAAAAAAACAAAAAAACAAAAAGAAAGAAAGAAAGAAACCAACUAACCAACCUUAAUAAUCUCUCGUAUUUCCUUCACUGAUUUCGGAAAAACUAAUUAUAUUGAUAGAGUUAUGGUUAAAGUGAUUUGGUGAAAUGAUUGGAAUUAGCUUUAGUAGGAAGUUGUUAACAGUGCAGUCUCUUUGCUUGUUUGCUUUGUCAGUCACCACAAUUAACACUGGAUAUUGGGAACUAGAGAACUUUCCUUCCCUCCUUUCAUCCUCUGUCUUUCUUGAGAUAGAGUGGCAUUAUGUAGCCAAGGCUGGCCUUAAAGUUACAGCAGCCCUCCUGCCUUUUUCUGUCAAGCUGGGAUUACAAGUGUAUGCCACUACACCCAGCUGAGUUUAGAUACUUCUUUUUAAAAACACUUCUUUGUGUGUGUGUCCACAGUAUGGGGGUGGAAGUCAGGAAAGCUUGUGGAGAAUCAGUCCUCUUCUUUUACCAUAUGGGUCCUGGUAAUACACUUGGGCCAUCUGGCCUGGUGGCAGGUACUUUUAUUUGUGUAUCCAUCUCCCUGGUGCCAGAUAUUUUUUGAAUGAGUAUAGUAUUGGUUUCUAGUAACCUUUGACACUUAAUAAGAAUUUGAUAUAUGUUUAGUUUUCUCAUACUUACAUUGUUCAUUGUGGUGUUAACACAGUAUGAUCUUUAUGAAUUAAUUUGAGGCUGUUUGAAGGUGGUUUUGGAAAUAAUGAAGCUUACAGAGUUGGAGAGGUCAGAAAGGAUUAUCAGUGACUUUGCUAGAGAAGAACAGAACCAUGUUCCUUUAUUUUGAUACUUGCUCAUUUGCUUUCUAUUUGCAUGCCUGUUUUCAUAAACGUAAACUUACUGAAAUGGGGACUGUCUUACACUUGUUCCCUUAAACACAUGAAUUAAUUGCGUAAACUGUACAUCCAAUAAAUGUUUCUAAAUUCAGGUGACUUUAGAGCAUUGGGCUUUUGAGGUUUUUAUUGUUAUUGUUGCUUGGUUGAGUUUUGUUGCGCUCACUUCAAACUCAAUCUGCAGUCAAAGCUGGCUUUGAACUUCUGACUCUCCUACCUCUGCCUCCUUUUGCUGCAACUACAGCCAUGUGCCAUUAUGCACAACAGCAAGAGUAGAUAGACAUCUUGUUGUUGUUUGCAGUCCUGGGUUUGAACCCAAGACCUUGUAUGUUGUAGGUAAGCACUACUGCUGAGCUGAGUCUGCCUACUGUCCUCUCCCUGGUAGAAUUGAUCAGUUGGUAGAUCUAGUUUUGUCUAUUGGUUGGAACUUUUACUAGAGAACCUUUUUUUCCCUAAGCAUUUCAUCAGGCAAAAUGGCCGAUUGACGCUUAGGAUGAGGGAAAGGGCGUGGGAGUCCUGGGAAUCCAGGUAGCUAAGCUCUACAGAAGGUUCUUAACCAGCCUUGGCUACACAGUGUCUGAGACAGCUACGAUAAUAAUAAUGGGGACUAAGUUAGGGGCCUAGGAGAAAUCUAUUGACUAUACAUUGAAACUAAGCAAUUUUAUUCAUUGUGUUAAAAUGAAAAUAAUUAUGACAUUACUUUUUUUGUAGAUGAUAUUAUCAAACUGAAUAGAAAGGAGGGAAAGAAGCAAAACUUUCCAAGACUAAAUAGAAGACUCCAGCAAAGUGGUACCCGGCAAUUCAGGAUGAGAGUACGGUGGGGAAUCCAGCAGAAUUCUGGUAAGGUCUAAAAUGCCGUUGUUUAUGGACUCGUAAUAUGUUCAGCCAUAGACUUAACACCUGGAGGGAAUGCACCAGUACUUUCAGACUUUUGUUUAAUUCUGAAAACCUGGAAAGACAUUAUUUUCUAAAAUAGCUGUUAAUUGAUUGUUCCUUAAGAUUCUAAGUUGUUUAAGAAUCCCAGUUUAUAAAUAGUUUAAAUUAUUUUUAGAGUUUAGAUUUGCCAAAGGUCUUAUGUAGCCUGUGGUCCUGUUUUCCUUCCCCAGUGAUAGUCUGAUGAUAACUGACUCCAGCUUGAAUGUGUUCUGUGGAAGAGCAUACUGCACCAUGAGAUAAUUUACUCUAUUGUCCAACUGCUCUAUUUACCAGAAAAUUCUCUAUUUGAAUAAAAGCAUGUCUGAGUAUUACAGAAAGCAAACUCACUUCUUAAACAAGAAUCCUUUACUAUGUGAAGACUGCUGUUCUGCAAAGAAAAUUACUAUAGGCAGAUUUAUUUAUUUAUUUAUUUAUUUGUAGGCAGCGUCUCACUGUAUAGCCAUAACUAGCUAUGUAGACUAGGCUGGUCUCAAACUCAAAAGAGGUCUGGCUGCCUCUGCCUCCCAAGUACUGAGCGUAAAGGCAUAUACAACCUUGCCCAGCUUUCCUCCAAACUCUGUCUUACCAUCCAAGAACUUUAUUUGUAAAUUUUCUAAAGGUGGCACUCUAAAUUGACUGUUGUAGGUGUAAUUAGAUAUUUUAUAUAUAUACAUAUAUACAUAUAUACAUAUAUAUAUAUAUAUAUAUAGUUAUUUUCUGAUACUCUGAUAGUUGCUUUACCUAUAAUCAUUUUGUUCUUAAGAUAGAUUGGGAACAAUAAAUAAUUCAACACAUAUAUUAUAAGUGAACUUUUUAGCAACUAUGCCAGCAUCUUAGAGUAAACCUUUGUUCAAAUAAAUAUUUUUUUCACAUGAAUAAAAAUAACUUUGCCAAAUUAACCAACUUAAAUUUUUAUUCUGUAUUUUGAAAAGCAAAAAUUAAUCUCUAGUAUAACUUACAUGUUUUAACAGUAAUAUACCAGCAUGUUCUUAAAAAUACAUUACUGAGACUGGAUCUUACAAGAGACUCAGUGUUCUCUAAAGAAUGAUUUUCCUCUUACCUGUAUGUAGGAUGCAUGCAUGGGAGUGUAGUUGCUGAAGGGAGUAAGCAUUAGAGACCUGGAGGUCCAUGUGGCUCACGUGGCUGUGAGCCGUGGCUUCUGGAAACUAAACUUGGUAAUCUGGAAGAGUGGCAGGUGCUCUUAACAGCUGAACCAUACCUUCAGCCUCUAAGAAUUUUUUAAAUAGCUGGAUCUAGUUAAUACAUUUUGUGACAGGUAUUUAGCUGUUAGAAAUAAAUGUGUAAUUCUAUUGAUUUAUAUUAAAGAUAUCUUUACAAUUGUUAUUCAACACACUAUACUUAAUGUAUCAUUGUAAAUGUUUGUAUAUUUUGUCUUGAAGUAAUUGUUUAGAGUUCAGAAUAGCCAGAAAUAGUAUUUAUUAAUAUUUUACAUAUUUGGUAAGUGGUUUUGAACUGCCUGAUUUGGAGAAUGCAUAAGAAUACAAUCUUUUACUUUAAAGAGCUAAUUUCUAAUAACUUAGAGAGAGAAGAUGGUGUUUAAAAAAUGUCAGAGGUAGGCCUGGUAAUGCAUGCCUGUAAGCUCAGCAUUGGGAGGCAGAGAUAGGAGUCCAGCGUGGUCUCGAUUAGUGAGACUCAGACAAACAAAC
rnacentral:lncRNA from 1 species